GUACCUUUGGAAAGCUUCACAUAGAAAUUGUGAAUAUGAGUUCCUCUUUUCAUGGAACUGAAUCGGAACUGAAGCAGUUCCAUUCUUGGAAAAUAUACAUAGGCAAUAAAGUGUAUUGUUAAUGAUUUCACCUUCCAGUAGGGAUCGUGAAGCGCUAAAUAGCGACAUAAAAUUUAUGUCAACGUUGGUAACGUGAUUGUAACAUUGGCUUCCUCCAGAUGAUAGCAAAUUUGGAAUUUCUUCAAGGCGAAGUAAUGUGGAAGAAGAGUAUAUCUUGGCAUAUAAGGCUAAAAGAGCGACGAGACGAACGAGUUACGAAUAGCCGCUAACAGGUACAGACGCACGGUUUGGUGAUCCACCAGUUUAGGACACCCUCUUCUGCUGUUUGGAGUGCUCCUCUUAUUCCGGAGCCUACAUUUUGGUAUAUAUACUUGUUUGAUGCAUAUGUAUAUAUUUGUUCAGGGGUACGGCGGGGCCCUGUUCUGCCAUAUGAUCCGUUUGGUCUGUUUAGAGGUCUGUAGACGUAUUUGUGGGUGUGUGUGCCUACUUCUGUUCAGAUGUGUUUGUAUGAUCCUAUUCGCUAUGGCAGCCUUGUCGGCGUGCAUUUGUAUAUGUUUUGGGCCGUUGUGCCAUUUGAUAGCCUUGUCGGCUUUUGAUACAUUUGAUAGCUUUGUCGGCUUUUGAUACAUUUGAUAGCCUUGUCGACUUUUGAUACAUUCGAUAGUCUUGCCGGCUUUUUGAUAUAUGUAUAUGCAUAUGGUUGUGUUUGAAAUA